ACGUAGGGUGCGAGCGUUAAUCGGAAUUACUGGGCGUAAAGCGUGCGCAGGCGGUCUUUUAAGACAGGUGUGAAAUCCCCGAGCUUAACUUGGGAAUUGCGCUUGUGACUGGAAGGCUCGGAGUGCGGAAGAGGGAGCUGGAAUUCCUGGUGUAGCAGUGAAAUGCGUAGAUAUCAGGAGGAACACCGGUGGUGUAGACGGCUCACUGGACCGUAACUGACGCUGAGACACGAAAGCGUGGGUAGCAAACAGGA
rnacentral:rRNA from 1 species